CCUACGGGAGGCAGCAGUGGGGAAUAUUGGACAAUGGGCGAAAGCCUGAUCCAGCAAUGCCGCGUGAGUGAUGAAGGCCUUAGGGUUGUAAAGCUCUUUUACCAGGGAUGAUAAUGACAGUACCUGGAGAAUAAGCUCCGGCUAACUCCGUGCCAGCAGCCGCGGUAAUACGGAGGGAGCUAGCGUUGUUCGGAAUUACUGGGCGUAAAGCGUACGUAGGCGGUUAUUCAAGUCAGAGGUGAAAGCCUGGAGCUCAACUCCAGAACUGCCUUUGAAACUAGAUAGCUAGAAUCUUGGAGAGGUGAGUGGAAUUCCGAGUGUAGAGGUGAAAUUCGUAGAUAUUCGGAAGAACACCAGUGGCGAAGGCGACUCACUGGACAAGUAUUGACGCUGAGGUACGAAAGCGUGGGGAGCAAACAGGAUUAGAUACCCUGGUAGUCCACGCCGUAAACGAUGAUAACUAGCUGUUCGGGCUCUACGAGCUUGAGUGGCGCAGCUAACGCAUUAAGUAUCCGCCUGGGGAGUACGGUCGCAAGNUUAAAACUCAAAGGAAUUGACGG
rnacentral:rRNA from 1 species